UACGAAGGGAGCUAGCGUUGCUCGGAAUUACUGGGCGUAAAGCGCACGUAGGCGGCUUUCUAAGUCGGGGGUGAAAUCCUGGAGCUCAACUCCAGAACUGCCUUCGAUACUGGAGAGCUCGAGUCCGGGAGAGGUGAGUGGAACUGCGAGUGUAGAGGUGAAAUUCGUAGAUAUUCGCAAGAACACCAGUGGCGAAGGCGGCUCACUGGCCCGGUACUGACGCUGAGGUGCGAAAGCGUGGGGAGCAAACAGG
rnacentral:rRNA from 1 species